GAUGUAGUUGCGGAAGAUUAAUUGACAUGAGCCCACAGGAUAUAUUAGAGGGGAGAAAUGGAAGGCGAGGAGCUCAACCAAGAGAACAUUACUUCCUCCAAGUGACAGGGAUUGAGGACAACUUUGGGGACAGGAGGAAUGAAAACAAAAGGUAGAUUCAGAAAACACUGAAGGCAAACAUUGGAAUAGCAAGAAGAAAGGCAAAGGGAACUAGUAUUUAUUGAGGACAUACUACCUGUUACUCAGAACACUAGAUAUAUAGGAUAAACAAAUGUCCUUUUCUUGCCACAAUCUGUUUAUGCCUUCUUUUCUUUUUUUUUCUUUUCUUUUGUUUUCUUUGAUCAUGAGAUAAUUAUUAACAAUGGCUCCUUUCAUUCUCCAUGUGUUCUGGCUCGGACAAUGUGGUACACAAUCCUGUUUUUAUAUACUUUUCAUCUUUGCUUCCUCCAGUUUGCCAUCUUCCACGGUGCACCUGAAGAUGCUGAACAUCUGAGGAGUCGCCUCAUGGCGUGUGGCCAGUAGGUGGAAGAGCCUGGAUUUGAAUCCAGAUCUAUAGAGUUCCAAAACGGGAGAGAUCUCAAGUGAAAAUUUUUUAAAAGUACAAUUAGUUCUGAUCAGAAUCACCAGCUAUGUGCAAGAUUUCAUCUGAGCAUUGUUCUCACAUAAAGAACUUAGUAGCAGAGAGUUUUAGAAUCGGAAGAUCUUGAACAAUUCCUUUGUGACAGUUAAAACAACUAAGGCUCAAGGAAGGUGGAACAGACCAAAGCAACUGGAUCUAGAUAAAAGUUAUGAGCCAUGUUAGAUUCAAACACAGGUAAUAUCCUUGGGAACCAGCUGCCACCAGCGGAGACCACAGAGACCACAGUGGAACUUGGAUGAAAAUGCACUCAAAGGCCAAAGGCUAAAGCCAGAGACCACAAAAGAACUGAAUUAAACAAGUUUUUACGGGGCCUUGGUUUCAAGGAGCUCAGAGGGUUUACCAGACUUCUUGUCGGCCUUCAUCACACCCAAGUUAGAGGGGAAAGUGAAUAUUGUAUGAAGAUGGCUUUCAUAUGAAGGCAGUCUGCAAAAGCAAAACUGAUCACUCAAAGCCAGUGGGUGAGGACCCAAUUUCCUUAACAAGAAUGCACAGAUAUACUGGUGAAGGAAAAGAAUAUCCCCAUUAAUUAAGAUGAAACAACAACACUACUACUCAUUAAAGUACCCAAGGCAGGUAAACUGCCUUGUAAAUUGACCACUUGGGAAUGUUUGGCUUACCAGGUACUUGCACACCGGCAAGAAAGUCAGGAAAUCCAGACAGAGUCCACCCUGCUGCUGCUCACCUCCUCUCCUAUCUGGCAGCCAGAAAGGAUUUGUUCUGUUUUGUUACGGAGGGAUAAACUAGGAUCAGUGAGUGGAAGACUCAUGAAGGUAGAUUUUUGGCUCGAGAGAACACUUUUCAAAAAUUAGAUGACCCAGUGAUGAAUGUGCUGCUAGCUAAGGUGAUGCGUGCUCUGUAGGUGAUCAAGGAGAAGCCCCAGGAACACACAUUCGGAUGAGCUAAACCAGAAGAGCCAAGACAUCCAAAGAGCAUCAGGAAAAGUCUUUGCUGAAAAGAAUCUUCAAGACCAGCUUGUGCCCUGCUGCUAAACAUCAGUUCAGCUUGUAAAAUCUCCGUGGUAACACCGUACAAUAAGGUACCAUCCAGUCAGCCUGGAAGUUUCAUCAUAUAACUCAAACAUGCUUCAGGGGCUCUCAGUAUGGUGUCCUUCACUCCAUUCUUAAAGGCCUUGUUUUUUGU